AAGCGGCGCGCGGCGGCGCCCCGGUCGCCGUGGUGAUGGCGUCGCGCAGUCCCGCUUCAGGCCGCCCUGAGGGAAGGCGGAAGGGCGCGCGCGUGCCGCCGCCGUCGCCGCCUGAGUUGAUUCUUUGGGGGCUCAUCUCAAACUACGAUGUAAAAAAGCUUUCAAGUAGUGAAAGAAAAUGUCACUUAAGAGCUCUAAGGAAAUGAGGAAAGUAAACAUUUCUAGCUCUUUGGAGUCUGAAGAUAUUAGCUUAGAAACCACAAUACCAACUGAUGAUAUUUCUUCUUCUGAAGAGAGAGAUGGUACUGUUAAAAUCACUAAGCAGCUGAUUGAACGGAAAGAGUUGCUCCAUAAUCUUCAGCUGCUUAAAAUAGAAUUAUCUCAGAAAAACUUGAUGAUUGACAACUUGAAAGUAGAAUAUCUGACCAAGAUUGAAGAGCUAGAAGAGAAGCUUAAUGAUGCAGUCCAUCAAAAGCAGCUCUUGUCUUUACGACUGGAUAGUCAGCUGGCAUUACAGCAAGAAGAUGCCAGAAAACACCAGGCUCUAAUGAAACAAGAAAUGGAAACUAUUUUAUUGAGACAGAAGCAACUGGAGGAAACAAAUCAUCAGUUAAGGGAGAGGGCUGGAGAUAUCCGUCGUAGCUUGCGAGACUUGGAAUUGACAGAUGAUUGCUAUAAGCAGCUAAAGUCUCUUCCUGAAGAUCAGCUUUCUAUCCCUGAAUAUGUUUCUAUCCGAUUCUAUGAAGUAGUCCAUUCCUUAAGAAAAGAGUUAAGUGAUCUACAGAUGAAAAAAGAGAGCCUAACAGAAGAACUAAGUGGGUACAAAUCACAACUGAAGUAUCUGACAGAGACCUAUGAAGAUGAGAGGAGGACUCGGUCAGAACUUGAGGUUAGAUGCCAGCGUUUAACACUGGAACUGGCUGAUACCAAGCAAAUGAUUCAGCAAGGCGAUUACAGACAAGAGAACUAUGAUAAAGUAAAAUGUGAACGUGAUGCAUUUGAACAUGAAUUGUCAGAACUCGGAAGAAAAUAUGAAAUAUUAGAGGUGUCACACAAAGCACAAGCUAAAGAAAGAAAUGACUUAUCAAAAGAGCUGGCAACCAUACAACAAUCCCUCAAUUUGUUGCAAAAAGAUAAAGAUUAUCUUAACCGCCAGAACAUGGAGCUUAGUGUUCGCUGUGCACAUGAGGAAGAUCGCCUUGAAAGACUUCAAAUUCAACUAGAGGAUGCCAAAAAAGCUAGGGAAGAAAUGUAUGAAAAAUAUGUUGCAUCCAGAGAUCACUAUAAAACAGAAUAUGAAAAGAGACUGCAUGAAGAGUUGGAACAAAUAAGGUUGAAAACAAAUCAAGAAAUUGAGCAGCUAAGAAGUGCUUCAAAAGAGAUGUAUGAACGUGAAAACAGAAAUUUGAGAGAAGCGAGAGAUAAUGCUGUUGCUGAAAAAGAAAGAGCAGUUAUUGCUGAAAAGGAUGCUUUAAGAAAACAUGAUCAACUCUUAGAACAAUAUAGACAAAUGCAGCUUGCCACAGAAAGCAAAGUAGCUGAACUUCUUCACCAAAGUAAGUUAAAGUCCUUUGAAACUGAACAUGUACAACUCAUGCAACAAGAAACAGCUAAGAAUCUUUCACAGUGCCAAAUGGAAUGUGAGAAAUAUCAGAGAAAGCUGGAGGUGCUUACUAAAGAAUUUUAUAGUCUUCAGUCUUCUAGUGAAACACGAAUUACUGAGCUUCAGACACAGAAUUCUGAGUUUCAAGCAAGGCUCGAUACUUACGAAAAACUUGAAAAAGAGCUUGAUGAGAUAAUAUUGCAGACAGCAGAAAUGGAAGAUGAAGUUGAAGCUGAAAGGGUUCUCUUCUCAUACGGGUAUGGCGCUAAUGUUCCUACAACAGCCAAAAGACGACUAAAACAAAGCGUUCACUUGGCAAGGAGGUUACUGCAGCUAGAAAAGCAAAACUCAUUGCUUGUAAAAGAUCUGGAACAUCAGAAGGAACAAGUAACACAGAUUUCACAAGAGCUUGGCAGAGCAAAUUCUUUAUUGAAUCAAGUACAACAACCAUACAAAUACCUCAUUGAAACUGUGCAACAGAGAGAUUCUCAAAUAAGUCUACAGAAAGAACAUAUUACACAACUUGAAAAAGAUGUCAGAGCUUGCAAGAAACUGCCAGAAAAUUUCUGGGGCAAAGGAUGAUGUUGCCUAUUUGAAGCAAGCGGAUGAUAACAGCCAGUUAAAGAAAAGUCUUUUAAAUAAAGAAAAGACAGCUUUGCUGCGUGUCAAGAAUCAAAUGGCAACAGAUUUGGAGAGACUUCUAAAUCACCGUGAGGAACUAGCCACAAUGAAACAGAUUCUAAUUAGUCUACAUGGUAAACACUAUGAACGUCAGUCUCAUACGGAUGUAAAAAGUGUGACUGCAAAAAUCAAAUCAAGCCCUUCAGUAAAACAGCUGCCAGAACAUGAAGAAGAAAAUAUAUUUACACCUAAGCCAACAUUAUUUACAAAUAAAGAGGCACCUGUAUGGUACAAGAAACUGCAGAAGAAAACAUCACCAUAGCAUUUUUCAAAAAUUACUCAAAAUAAUCCUUCGGGGAUAUUUUCUUGGAAGAAAGUUCUUUUCACCAUAAUGAUGCCCUUUUUACCAUAGAAGCAAACAACUGUUUUGGUUUUAACUGUUCUUUUAUACCUGUCAAAUGAUCUUAUGCUUCAUAAAAUAAUUUUUAGAUCUGUCAUGUGAAUAAAGUGUGUGGAAAUAAUACAUAAAAUGAUUUUACUAGCAUGUAUUUGAAUUUUAAAAGAUAAAUAAACACUAGCAUAUUGUACACAUUUAAAGGAUGUGUUAUUUAGAGUGUUCAAAUUAAUGCAUGUUUCGGCUUUUUUAUAUUGUUUUUCUUGGACUCUCUGUUUCAUGCCACAUUCCUUGCAACUAUUCUGGCUCAUAAAAAUUUAAAAUAUAUACAUGAGUUAGCAUCAGACUAUAUCCUACUUUCUAUGAAGGAAAUUCAUGUCAGGUGAAAAAAAAAAUAAUUUCUCAUCAGCCUUAAUUUGUAUAAUUUGUUAUUUUAUUUAAUUUGUUCUACCAAACAGGCCUUAAAAAUUCUAAAGAAGCAAUAAAUACAUCUUAAUUAUCAGCACUGAUUCUUCAUGGGCUAGAUACACUUGCUCUGGUAUAGUUGCAUCAGUGUAAUAAUAAAAAUAGGCAAUGAUGUAUGAUUAUUAUAGCAUGCAAUGGUGAAAUGGAUAACUUGGCAUAUUUUAUUAUGAAAAUAAGCCCCAUCUUCCAAGAAUACAGUCUACUUAUUUAUUCCACUCCACCAUCUAUUUAGACUAUAGAAAAUGUCUCUCAUAUUUUAAAGCACUUUUGUCUGCAUAUGGUACCUUUCUUUAUAUAACAUAAAUAUAGAAGAUAUUGUUUAAGUGACUGUACACUGAAAAUAUUGCUCAGAUUUCAUUUAAGAGGAGGCUCCUUUUUCUCACCUCCUUUUUCCCUGACAGUAUCUCUUCAACUGAUUCAUUGUUCCUACCUGGACACAAACAAUUAUUUCCUAUGUAAUACUAAGCUUAAUAUUAUCAAGCUUAUGAUUCCUAGAUACACUUUUCUUCGUUUUCCAAACAGCAGUUCGACACACAGCAAUACUUCCUCUGCUCCAGGUAAACUUCAGUUUCUUUAUUGGGUUUUUUUUUCUAAUUCUGAGAGUGAGGUAAAAAUGCACAUCACAGGUUUAAAAUUAGCACUGUGUGAAGGAGGGAGGCCAAGUGCAUAGACAGAAGUAGUAUCUUUUACUAGACUAACUGAUGUUCAUUGGGGAAAAAAUAGACAAACCUUUGGGCUCACAAAUCUACCUGUACAGACAUUCCUGAAUAAACUUUGGUUUCCUGAAGUCUA